CCUGACAAAUUCCCACCUGGGCUUGCUGAGACGCGCGCUCUCUCUCCCCAUUCCCCAUUCCCCAUUCCCCCGAUUAACUAGGGUUCCUCUAGAUGUCUCCGGCAAUUUCGUCGGCGGUGGAGGCAGCUCGCGGGUGAAGGGCGUUGUGCUCGGCCGUGGACAUAGCGCGCGCCCGCGCGGCGGCGCUGUGCUCAUUUGCGGAGGGGCGAGCUUCAUGUGAGAGGGGUGACAUGCUCGUUGACGAAGUUGAUCCGUGUUUGAUGUGUGGGAGCGAGCAGCGCGGCAGUGCGAGGCUUGAGGCGACGAGCGGGCCGCGAGUGUGUGGCGCGCGACGGCGGAGAGUUGGCCACGCGGAGGUGCGGCGAGAUCUGCGCGGGCCGCGGGGACCAAGAUGCGUGCGAGAGGGCGGCGAGUUCGUCAGCGUUGGCCGAGACACGCACAAGGUCGGGAUUGAUUGGUGACGGAGAUUCGCCAGCUACUUCGACUAUCGAGACCAGCAGUUCGCGUUGCUGCCAGCAUGAUCAAUGAAGCAAAAUGUUAUUCCUACAUCGAUGCUACAACAAAUGUACAAAGUCAGAUAAGACACAUGCUUUGUAUUCAGAAAUUACAGUAGCCGAAGCUACCUUCUUCUCGAAAACAUGUUCCUGAACUUCAUAUUUUAUGUCAGUAUAAUGUUAAUCUUUUGUCGCGCAAAAGAUAUGUCCAAUAAAUAUUACUACCAUGUUUGAUUC